CGGGCGGCCGUGACCCUGCUGGAGUGCGGGGGGGACCUCCAGCCCCCCGGGGGGUCCCUGCGCCUCCUCUGCCGAGGGGCCGGGUUCAGUUUUGGCAGUUUUGGGAUGGGCUGGGUGCGCCAGAGACCCGGGCAGGGGCUGGAGUGGGUCGCGGGCAUCAGGAACGAUGGUGCUGACACCGGCUACGCGCCGUCGGUCAAGGGCCGGUUCACGAUCUCCAGGGACAACGGGCAGAGCUCGGUGACGCUGACCAUGAACAACCUCAAGGACGAGGAUUCCGGAUCCUAUUUCUGUGCCAAAUCUUCUGCUGCUGGCAAUUGGGGUGAUGCUGCUGCAUAUGUUGAAGACACCAGUUGUGGAUCCUCCCUCGUCUCACACUGA